AAAUUACUAGCCCGGAGGGGGUGUCUUGUUUUGAAAGCAGGGGGAGGGUGUUCAAUUCGCCCAGUAAUUUA
rnacentral:tRNA from 1 species